rnacentral:snoRNA from 1 species
GGCAUGUUUAAGUCAAAAAUUUCUUAAAAGGAAUCUGAAAAGCAAGUAGAUCUCAUUACCUUUGGAGGGUUGUGACUAUGACCCUCAAAGUAAAUUUGGAGGUUCUACAUCG